AUACGCUCCGCCAGAGCUUUCUUUCUUCUUUCUGCUCCUAUUUGUGUAAUAGAAAGCGAGGAUGGCCGCCGCUAACAAGGAGCGUACCUUCAUUGCUAUCAAACCAGAUGGGGUCCAGCGCGGUCUGAUCGGUGAAAUCAUCAAACGCUUUGAGCAGAAAGGAUUCCGUCUGGUGGCCAUGAAAUAUGUGCAGGCUUCCGAGGAUCACCUGAAGCAGCACUAUAUUGACCUGAAAGAUCGCCCGUUUUACGCUGGGCUAGUAAAAUACAUGGGAUCAGGACCAAUUGUGGCCACCGUCUGGGAGGGUCUUGGUGUGGUCAAGACUGGUCGUGUGAUGCUGGGAGAGACCAACCCUGCUGACUCCAAGCCUGGCACUAUCCGUGGGGAUUUCUCCAUCCAGGUUGGCAGGAACAUCGUUCAUGGCAGUGACUCCGUCGAAAGUGCCAAGAAGGAAAUCGCCCUUUGGUUCAAUGAGAAUGAGUUGGUAGAAUACAAAAGCUGUGCAAAAGACUGGCUGUACGAAUAGUGAUGCUUACUGCUUUUCUACUUCAUUCCGUUAAACCUCCAAAUAAAGUAUUAAACUAAAAAAAAAAAAAAAAAAAAA